UUUGGCGUCUCAGUGGAAAGUUGAUCACCUAUCCGACCCGUCUUGAAACACGGACCAAGGAGUUUAGCAUAUGCGCGAGUCAUUGGGUGGUAAACCUAAAGGCGUAAUGAAAGUGAACGUUACUUUAGUGUAGCUGAUAUGGGAUCUGUAAAGUGUCGCUUGCGACUGUUACAGCGCACCAUAGCCCCGUCCUUGUUGCUUGCAAUAGGGCGGAGGUAGAGCGUAUACGCUGAGACCCGAAANGAUGGUGAAA
rnacentral:rRNA from 1 species